rnacentral:rRNA from 1 species
AGCGAACGCUGGCGGCAGGCCUAACACAUGCAAGUCGAACGAUCCUUCGGGAUAGUGGCGGACGGGUGAGUAACACGUGGGAACGUGCCUUUUGGUUCGGAACAACUCAGGGAAACUUGAGCUAAUACCGAAUGUGCCCUUCGGGGGAAAGAUUUAUCGCCAUUAGAGCGGCCCGCGUCUGAUUAGCUAGUUGGUGAGGUAAUGGCUCACCAAGGCGACGAUCAGUAGCUGGUCUGAGAGGAUGAUCAGCCACACUGGGACUGAGACACGGCCCAGACUCCUACGGGAGGCAGCAGUGGGGAAUCUUGCGCAAUGGGCGAAAGCCUGACGCAGCCAUGCCGCGUGAAUGAUGAAGGUCUUAGGAUUGUAAAAUUACUUUCACCGGGGACGAUAAUGACGGUACCCGGAGAAGAAGCUCCGGCUAACUUCGUG